rnacentral:rRNA from 1 species
AGGACGAACGCUGGCGGCGUGCUUAACACAUGCAAGUCGAGCGGAAAGGCUCCUUCGGGGGUACUCGAGCGGCGAACGGGUGAGUAACACGUGAGUAAUCUGCCCUCCACUCUGGGAUAACGUUCAGAAAUGGGUGCUAAUACCGGAUGUUCACAGGUUCACGCAUGUGGGUUUGUGGAAAGGUUUUCUGGUGGGGGAUGUGCUCGCGGCCUAUCAGCUUGUUGGUGGGGUAAUGGCCUACCAAGGCUUUGACGGGUAGCCGGCCUGAGAGGGUGACCGGCCACACUGGGACUGAGACACGGCCCAGACUCCUACGGGAGGCAGCAGUGGGGAAUAUUGGACAAUGGGCGGAAGCCUGAUCCGGCAACGCCGCGUGAGGGAUGACGGCCUUCGGGUUGUAAACCUCUUUCACCAUUGACGAAGCUGCAUCUUUUGGGUGUGGUGACGGUAGGUGGGAAGAAGCACCGGCCAACUACGUGCCAGCAGCCGC